rnacentral:lncRNA from 1 species
GCCCUCAUCUCCUCACUAUUCUUCCUUUGUUUUUCUAACCUUCCCAGGUUCCAUUCUGCGCCUGGAAAAGUAAUCUAAACAGACAGCAUCACUUGCCUGUCUUUGUCAACUGAUCCUGGAAACCCUGGCAGGAGGCAGAAGAGUGAGAAGAUAGAGUGAUUGGGUCCUUUUCCCAACAUGCCUGCUUUGACCCAGCAUUUGCAGCAGCACCUGUGUCCUUCCUUGACUAUGGAUUUGGUCUAGCCAUUUUUUUCUUUCUUUCUUUUGCUGUUGUUGUUAUUUGGAUCAGGUGGAAUUAAGGAGCUGUCAUCCUGCAUGUGACAGAAGAUCCUAGGUCCCCAUGUCUUGAAUGUUUCAGUCCUGUCUCAUGAAGUUUCUGUCUCCUGCUCUAUGAGUGACGAAAUGGAGAGGUACAUCUUGUACAGAUAUUUGCCCUCUGGAAAGAAGUGACUGUAUAAGCCCCACAACAAAAAAGACUGGUGACCACACAUUUGGGACAGUCAGAAUAGACCUGCGUGAGGUUUGCUAAUUGAGAGAGGAGAGGAACACAAUUCAUUUCUGACUCGGUUAUCAAACUGUUCUUGUAAGUGACACGACUGAAACCACCUCUUGGCUUUGCAAACUGCUGAGUCCGGACUUCUGCAUCUCUGAAAGCUCAGCGAAUGGAUCUUCUCAGCAAAGAUUCAGAGGCUCUUUGGAUCGGAUUUGAAAGCCUUUCCCCUGAGGACUAGCAUUCAAAGAACUGUAAGGUACUACGCAAGUUUCCAAGAAAGGGAGGCAACCAAUGGUCAUACCCAGCUGUGAUGUCUAUGAUCCAUAACAGCCCCAGCAUGACAAGGCUUGGAUUCCUUACUUUCUGGAUCAAUUACAAUGCUCUGAGCAGCAGGGCUCGAAGGGCUCCAGUUUGCUGUUUGGAGGUUUGGAGACUUGUCAGCCUAAUUCCAAUCCAUUUAAUGAUCAGAGUAAUCUGGGAGCCAUGUGUGUACCUAUAUCCCAGCUAUUUGAAUAGCCGAGGCAGCAGGAUUGCUUGGGUCCAGGGAGUUAAAGAUAACCUGGAC